rnacentral:rRNA from 1 species
GACGAACGCUGGCGGCGUGCCUAACACAUGCAAGUCGAACGCGUCUGUGCUUCGGCACAGAUGAGUGGCGAACGGGUGAGUAACGCGUGAGUAACUCCCCUUGGGGAGGGGGAUAACCAUCUGAAAAGGUGGCUAAUACCCCAUAUUCUCUUUUCUCAUAAGAGGAAGGAGGAAAGGUGGCGCAAGCUGCCACCCCGAGAGAGGCUCGCGUCCCAUCAGCUAGUUGGUAGGGUAAUGGCCUACCAAGGCUAUGACGGGUAGCUGGUCUGAGAGGAUGGUCAGCCACACUGGGACUGAGACACGGCCCAGACUCCUACGGGAGGCAGCAGUGAGGAAUCUUGGGCAAUGGGCGAAAGCCUGACCCAGCGACGCCGCGUGGAGGAAGAAGGCCUUCGGGUCGUAAACUCCUGUUUGGGGAGAAGAACAAGAGAGAAGUUAAUAGCUUCUCUCUCUGACGGUAUCCCCGGAGAAAGCUCCAGCUAAUUACGUG